GGAUGUGAGGGCAAUCUGGCUGAGACAUCUGUCACCCCACUGAUCACCAGGGUUAAUUUGGCUGAUCUGGCUGGCUAGGCGGGUGUCCCCUUCCUCCCUUACUACUCCAUGUGCACCCUCCUGAAGCUGCGCACUCAGUGGAAGUGGACGACCACCCCGGAUAGAGGACCAUUUCCUCGGUCAAGGGUAUAUGAGUAGCUGUGCUCCACUGUUAGAACCUCCAGACAAGCUCUAAAGAUUUAAUCCCUCAAAGGCACUGUUCAUCAAAGUAUGGUUAUCACUUGCUUCAAAAUUACCUGGAGUACUUGUGUUUUUUUUGGU
rfam:Heterocephalus glaber contig18826, whole genome shotgun sequence.